rnacentral:lncRNA from 1 species
AUUUGAUUGUCGCGAGAGAAGAAAAAGAAGGUGAUGAGGUUGGACAGAAGGAGGAGGCGAAGGUGAGAGGAGAAUCGCUGGAGCCUUGUAGAGAGUGACUAAAAGAACGCACCAAGGAUUGAUGCGAUGACUCCUACAAGUUUGGCUUGGCUGCUUCAGCUUUUCCAGCUCACUCUCUCCAUCCUAAUUUUUAAUUCAGUUAUUAAAGAAUAAGCUAAGUUUAUCUUGUAAUAAUGGCCAUUGACGUAAUGCGCAAUUCUGUCUUGUGUUUCCUAUGAAUGUGCAGCCUCCACUUGCUGAAGCACCGGACUUUCUUUGGUUCUGUCCCGUUUCAGGGAUUUUUUCAUUUGCAAAGCAACUCCUAUCUAGGAAAUUUUAGGGACCCAGCAUCACGAGACGAGGUUCAUCAUCACGAGAGUGAAAGUGAAGGUGAAUAAUGGCGAGAAUGAAAGUGAAAGCUGGGACGAGGUUCAUCAUGGCCCGUUGAAGAUAGAAUUUCAAUUUCAAUUCCUUAUAUUAUGAACUAAUUGAUUCAGUCAAUCCGUAAGAUUGAAGGGUCAGUCAAUAAAUUGGAAGAACUUUAUCUUGUAUAUUGUUUUCCUAUUUGUAUUUCUUUGUAUUAUAAAUAUCCUCAUAUACAUGUACAAACAAUAUCGAAAAAUACAAUUACAAUUCCUCCAUAACGCCUUUUCGAUUUCUGUCAUCUUUUCUUCGAUUCCUACCAUAAUAUCAGAGGUAUCAGAGAGUUCUUUCCUAACCUAGGUUCCGUAAAGUUUUCUGGAUUGCCUCCAGUCAGUUUUCUAACUUUGUGUUGCAAACCAUAAUAUGCAAAACAAAGUUAGCACUUUGGGUGGAAAUGCACGUAUUUAUUUAUUUUAUUUUAUUGGUAAAGAGCACGUAUUUAUUUAUCAACCAUACAAUUACCAAGAAGCCUGCUUAAGCCUACAUAGGAAUUUAUGAAGACAACAUACCCAUACUCCCCUAUCUUUGUAAAUCUUAUGGAAGUUCCAUAUAAGACUUUUUUAUCCUGAUCGCUUUAAUGAAAAGCAUUGGAUGUGUUUACUUUCUUGGCCACUAGGGGAAAAAGUCUUGUGAUAGUUGAAUCAAGCCUUGUAGGAAACUAUUUACUUUGCACUUGAUUUUGUAUAUUCAUUUGCAGCCAAUUGACCUUCCAUGUGAAGGCAAGGACAUGCCCAGAGCAAGGGACUUGUAAUCCAUGCCAAUGUCCCCGUACAUAUGUGAUGUGAGUUUGCAGGGUGAAUUACCAAAAAAGUCAUAAAUUUAUUACAAUUGUGUCAAUUUAGUCAUAAACUUUUUUUUUGCCAAUUCAGUCCUAAACAUUUUGUAAUUAUACCAAUUUAGUCCAUUCGACAAAAUUUAACCAACCGACGCUAAUGUGGACAUUAGCCAGCGAUGGCUGUCUAGUGAAUGCUAAUGUGUCAUUUUUAAAUUUUUUUUUGAAUUUUUGAAUUUUUUUUUGAAUUUUCUUUCUUUCUUUCCAUCCAUCUUUUCCUUCCUCUAGUCGGCCACAAGGGUCGAUGGGGCCUCACCUAGCCAAGGCGACGGUUGACUUCGCUAGUGGCUGGCGAGGCUCCUCGCUAGAUCUGGCGAUGGCGACCUCACUAUCGCUAGGUGAGGCUUGACUUCGCCAGUGGCCGGCGGCGGCAAACCUUGCCACUAGCCGACGAGGCAGACCUCGCCGACUAGCUAGAGGAGGGAGAAGAUGGAUGGAAAGAAAAGAAAAAUAAUUCGAAAAAAUAUUUAAAAAUUCAAAAAAUAAUUAAAAAAUGUCACGCCAGUUGACCAACGUCCACGUUAGUACCGACCAUCCAAUUUUAGCCGGAUGGAUUGAAUUAACACAAUUAUAAAAGGUUUAGGACGAAAUUGACAAAAAAAAAUUAUGACUGAAUUAGCAUAAUUACAAUAAAUUUAUGAUUUUUUUGGAAAUUCUCCCCAUCUGCAUCAUCAUCCAAAUUACAUAAAAAUUCACUUCGUUUUUUGUAUGAAACUCUCAGCAGUUGAUAGAGACCUUUGGCUUCGAAAGAAUUCCAAGAAAAGCAGAUCCCAAGUCUGCAAAUUCGUGCGAAAUGAAGAAGCUUCACUCACUCGCCCAUCCAGAGCGAGCAAGAUGAUCUUGCGAAGGAUAGAAAAGGUGAGAGGGGGACACGACCCAGACCUGUCAAACAGAGCAAACAAGCUAGACGAGGGCUUCAAACUGUUUUCCCCUUUCUUUUCCUCCAUAAACCUGACAUUAAUGGAGUUAGCAGAAGCCUUCGAUUAAGCCAAAUCCCAAACUAGAGUUGCUUCUGGUAGUUCAUUAUUGAUAUGCAUCUGCGAGCAGAUAUCAGUCCACAUUACAUAAAGAUACGCUCGAACAUCUACAAAGUAUCUCGCCAUGGAACCUGAAAAAUUUCAGGAAAAUCCACUUCUUCUCUUUCCCCCUGUUUUGCCAGCACAAUUGUUUAAGAAAUUUCUUUUUGGGGUACAUGUGCAUCAGGCCGCGCUUCAAGGAUACAUCAAUUUGUGCCGUACAAUGUUAGAUCAGUAAUACACGACACGACCCGGAUGCACAACCGGAUACGUAGUUAACUAGGUUUGACUUUGGUACAGACAAGUUAAUGUCAUAAAUGGAUCAGCUCGUUCAAGAUACAACAAAAAUUGUGUUUGACAGGAGUUGACUCGCUCACCCAUUUAAAUACAAAUUAACAUUUUUAAUUUAGUGAGUUUUCUUUUGGUCAAAAAUUUAGUGAGUUAAUGUGUUACCUUUUUAACACGAUAUCAUUAGAUAUACUUUGAUAUGUUUAGUACUCAAAUAAUAUGUAACUUUUUCUUUUUCUUCUUUUUUAUAAUUUGCUCUUCUUCUCUUCUUCUCUCUCUUUUUUUUUUUUUUCCUUUUCCUGUGUCAAUGAGGGUCAUUGGCGAUCAUCCGACUAGGAAGGUCUUGCCAGUUGUGGAUGAGAAGGCCUCCCCUAGGGCGUUCAUGGCAUCGCCGAUAGUGACCAAGGCAAUCCUCACCUAGACUACCUGCGAAGGUUGCCAGUGAACUUCGUUGCAUAGAAAAAAAUAAAAAUUCAAAAAUUAUCCACAUCAGUACAGUUAUGUCAUUUAGAACGACUGAUUAUUAUCUCAACGAUUUCCAAUCAUAAUUAGCAGAAUGGAUUUAAUUGAUAAAUUUGAAAAAUUUAUGACUGAAUUGAUCAAAAUGCUAUAAAUUUUAAAAAAAAAUUAUAUAAUUUUCCUUAAAUGCUCAGAAGAUUUAAAUAUAUUUUUUUCAAAGUGGGCAUACACGUUAAUUUAUGCGCACCAGAUGGCAUGCGGCAAUCAAAAUUUGUCCCUAUCUUAGCAUUUCCACAUCUAGUUCACGUUGGAACAUUCAGCCCGAAUAAUUUCCAAAGACAAGAGGGUGGUGCGUCUUAAGAAUAUGUACAAAUGUUUUGUAAUUUUCCUCCUCCUUUUUUCUUUAUGUUGCCAAGACAAUCUACAAGCUUGAAGCUUUGCUUAGGAGCGGAGGAAUCUUACGGCUGGAGGAUGCCAAGCUCCCCCACAACCCCACUGCCCUCGAUCGUCGUCUCUUCCUCUUUGGACUUUCCCCACGUUACCCCGUAGAAUCCCACGAUCACAAUCGCUCCGCGAAAGCUGCACAAAGCCCAAAAGAGAAAAACAAAAAGGCCAUUUAACCAAAAAAGAAAAAAGAAAAAUUCUUUUAAAUGGCAUGUCCGCGUUGAUCGAGACAGGAUAUUCUCGUAAAAUUAUCACGUAGUCUGUGGAACUCAAGGCACGGCCUCGAUACCAACUAUUGAGUAAGACAGACAAAGCCCAUCUCAAGAAGCACAAGCUCUUUUCAUUGGCAAUACUCUUUUAUAAUAUCGGUUGGAAAAACUCUCACACACACUUAUGGGAGCCAAGCACGCUCACACCACGCUUGCUCUAAUGAGCGCCCUCGCCUAUUUGGAGGCCUAAGUAGUUGGUUCUACCUCCUAAAAUAUUUUGAUAUUUCUAUAUUAAUAUCUUCCCCUAGGUAUUUCUAAAGAAAUAUAUCCUAUGAUAUUUCUACACUCUUCUUAAAAUUUCUUAUAACUAUAUAUCUAAAUAUUUGGGUAGUCUAGAGAAAUCUAGAAUCUUUAAGAGAAAAGAGGAGGUGCAAUUCUUCAGCACUCCCCCUCAAAAACUUUUUUUUUUCUCAACGUGAAUCUAGUCAUCGUGCCAAAUUGCGUCUUGGAACUCUUUAGUUGUCUUUUUGGCUUCCUUUAACCUUUGUUAUUCCUUCCUGACUUCGCCUAUUUCUUAUGCUCACUGAAGAUAUUUGAGAUAAAGCCCUAAUUAACACCAUCUUCUCGAACUUCAAUUACCUCUGUGGCUGCAACUUUUGAUUAGAUUUUGUGAAGUUUGGACUUUGGCAACGCGAAGUUCGACCUGUGCUUCUGUCUCUUUUUCCUGCAUCCCACUUAACCUAGCCUUCAUACUUUGCAAUUCUUUUGUAAGAGUUUUAAGAUCAUAGCUUAUGUGGCCAAGCCUUUCAUUCGCGGUUUCAUUUGGUGCUUUAACCGAUUCACUUCAAUUUGCAGACAACUUCGUCCUUCUUCUGGUAGGGCUUCUUCUCCACACCCUUCCAUCGAGAUGUAAGGUGGAGAUGGCCACAGUUUUUAAAAACAUCCUUUCUUUUUCUCCUUCUUAUUUUCCCUAGUUUGACCAAUUGAGAAUGUCACAGUGGGCUUGAAUUCCUUAAGCUUCUGCAACUUCUUAAGCUCACACGAAAGCUUUUCAUGCUCUCUUUCUUUGGCCUUGAGCUCCUCCUCCUUCUACCUCAGCAUUUCUCCUUCUCCUUCAACAUCUUCUCCAUCUUCACCUUCAUCUUCUCCAUCUCCUACAGCCCUUUCUCAAGGCUGCUCAUUGGCACUGCUACUCGCUUCUUCGGGUUUGUCCUCAGCUUGCUCUUAUCCAAGAACGUGACAAAGUCUCUCGCAUCAUCUGACUUGAUAGUGGAGGAGGUUGCGAGCGCUUCCGAUUCCUCUAUUAUAGUGGCCAGUUGGAAAUCUCACUCUUCUUCAUUAUCGUUCUCUUUCAUGGUAGAGGUUGCGGCAUUUCCUUCAACGUGCCUGAAUAGAUAGACCUUGGCAAAGUGCCAUACUUUAAUGCACAUGCAGCACCAUCCGUUAUGCCUUUUAAAGCUUUUAUCUUCAUUGUCAUUAUUGUUAUAAUCUCGAUGAGCUCCCCAUGGCUGCGCGCUCCUCCCUUCUGGUCGCCUCAGCCAGUCUCCAUGACCACUCCUCUCUUUUUCAUCUCCAAUGCUAGCUUCAUUUCUCCUUUGGCCCUUGAACCCCCUUUUUCUUAUGGAAGAGGACACUUCGAUCAUCCUUCAUUGAGACCUUAGAAAUUUGUCUAUCUAAACCCCCUUAGUUGACUAAUAUAUUCUCUAACUUGAUCAAAGUUGGAUCUUUAGACUAUCCCCCAUGAAUGCUAAUUAUUCCCUACAUAGUCCUAGAGAUGGCAUUCUAAGGAUCCAACUUUAUAAUUUCUUCACAAAUAGAUUUAACUUUGAAAAGAUAUUGGCUCACUGUCAAUCGCUCAUUUUCCAACCAUUGUAGUUUGGCGUCAUUCGUCCUAGAGAAUAGUGUUGCCAAGGCAACCUAUGCCUCCUUUGGGAUUCUUGUGGUUUUGAUAUGCUGUAACAUUCAUCACUCAACUAUAACAACAAGAACAUAGAGAGUCCUACCAACCUUAAUCUUCCACUCCCUCCCCCCUCUUCAUCAACCGUGAGUGGUGUGGUAUAAUCGCGUCAACAAUAUCCUACAAAUCUUAACCCAAUAGGUAAAAUUGCAUGCUGGCAUUCCAAUUAUUAUAAUUGAAGUUGUUGCAUCCUUGACACCCCUUGCCCAUGGCCAAUGGGGCUGCCAAGGCCUCCCCCAAGGCCUUUACGGCAUCACCAAGGUGAGGCUUUUGCAACUAGCGAGGGUUGCUAGUGACCCUCGUUGGCACCGGAAAAAAAAAAAACAAAAACAAAGAAAAGGAGGAAAAGAAAAAAGAUUAAAAAAUUCAAAAAUUUACAAAAAUUGUCCAUUGUCAUAUAAGGUACGAUAACCGAGUCAACGUUAGUGAUUUCCAGUCAAAAUUAGUCGAACGAAUUUAAUUGAUAAAUUUAAAAGAUUUUAGGACCGAACUAAUAGAAAUGCAAUAAAUUUAGAACUUUUUAAAUAAUUUUCCCCCAUUUCUCAAAAGAUCUAAAUACAAGUUUUUCAAAGUGGGCAUACACGUUAAUUUAUGUGCACCAGAUUGCAUACCGCAAUCGAAAUUUGUACCUAUCUUAGCAUUUCCACAUCUAGUUCUUGUUGGAAUAGUCAUCUCGAAUUAAUUUCCAAAGACAAAAGGCUACGCCUUAAUAAUAUGUACAAAUUUCCGUCUUUUUCCUUCUUUUUUCUUUAUGUUGCCAAGAAUAUCUACACGCUUGAAGCUUUGUUUUGGAGCAGAGGAGUCUUAUGGACGGAGGACGCCAAGCUCUCCCCAACCCCACUGCCCUCGAUCGUCGUCUCUUCCUCUUUGGACUUUCCCCACAUCACCCCGUAGAAUCCCAUCACAAUCACGAUCGCUCCGAUUAUGCUGCACAAGACCCAAAAGGGAGAAACAAAAAGGCAAGUUGACUAAAGAUAUUUCUUUUAAAUGGCAUGCCCGCGUCAAUCGAGACAGGAUAUUCUCUUAAAAUUAUCACGCAGUCUGUUGAACUUAGAGGCAUGGCCUCGAUACCAACUAUCAAGUAAGACGCACAAAGCUCGUUUAAAGAAACAAGAGCACUUUUCAUUGGUGACACUCUCUUAUAAUAUCAGUCGGAAAAAACUUUGUAUACAAACUUAAGAGUGCCAAGCACAAUCUCAUACACUCUCACACACACUUAUGGGACCAAGCUCACUCACACCACGCUUGCUUUAAUGAAAGCCCUUGCCUAUCUAUAGGCCUAAGUAGGUGGUUCUACCUCCUAGAAUAUUUAGAUAGUUCAAUAGUAAUAUCUUCCCCUAGGUAUUUCUAAAGAAAUAUAUCCUAUGAUAUUUCUACACUCUUCUUAAAAUUUCUUACAACCAAAUAUAUAAAUAUUUAGGUAGUCUAGAAAAAUCUAGAAAUUUUAAGAGAAAAGAGGAGGUGCGUUUCUUCAACACUCCCUCUCAACAAUUAUUUUUUUUCUCAAUGUGGAUCUAGCCAUCUUGGAACUCUUUAGUUGUCCUUUCGGCUUCUUCCUUUAACCUCUGUUUUUCCUUCCUGACUUCACCUAUUUCUUGCGCUCACUCCAGAUGCGCUCACUCCAGAUGUUUGAGAUAAAGCCCUCAAACUUCAAUUACCUCUGUGACUGCAACUUUCGACUAGAUUUUGUGAAGUUUGGACUUCGGCAACGCCAAGUUCGACCUGUGCUUCAGUCUCUUUUUCCUGCAUCCCACUCAACCCAGCCUUCAUACUUUGCUAUUCUUUUGUAAGAGUUUUAAGAUCGUAGCUUAUGUGGCCAAGCCUUUCAUUCGCAGUUUCAUUUGGUGCUUUAACCAAUUCACUUCCAUUUGAAGCACUUAGAUGGAGAUAACUUCGUCUUUCUUCUGAUAGGGUUUCUUCUCCACGCCCUUCCAUCGAGAUAUAAGGUGGAGAUGGCCACAAUUUUUAAAUACAUCCUUUCUUUUUCUCCUUCUUAUCUUUCCCAGUUUGACCAACUGAGAAUGUCACAGUAGGCUUGAAUUCUUAAGCUUCUGCAACUUCUUAAGUUCACACCAAAGCUUAUCAUGCUCUCUUUCUUUGGCCUUGAGCUCCUCCUCCUUCUGCCUUAGCAAUUUUUUUCUUCUCCUUCAACAUCUUCUCCAUUCUUUGCCUCCAUCUUCUGCAUCUCCUACAGCCCUUUUUCAAGGCUGCUCACUGGCGCCGCCACUUACUUUUUUGGGUGUGUGCUUAGCUUGCUCUUAUCCAAGAUUGUGACAAAGGUUGUCGCAUCAUUUGACUUGAUAGUGGGAGAGGCUGCGAGCUCUUCCAAUUCACCACUUGGAAAUCUAACUCUCUUCACUAUGGUUCUCUUUCAUGGCAGAGGUUGCGGCAUUUCCUUCUAUGUGCCUGAAUAGCCCUGGCAAAGUGUCAUCCUUUACCUCACCUGAAGCACCAUUUGCUACACCUUUUAUUGCUUUUAUCAUCAUUGUCAUCUUUAUCAUAAUCCCAAUCCCAAUGAGCUCCCCCUGAGCACUCCUCCCUUCUGGUCUCCCCAGCCAGUCUCCAUGACCUCUCCUCUAUUUCUCUUCUCCAGUGCUAGCCUCAAAUCUCCUUUGGCCAUUGAAUCUCUCUUAUUAUUAAAGAGGACACUUUCAUCAUCCUUUCCCUAGACCUCAGACAUUUGUUUAUCUAAAUCCUCUUGAUUGGCCAAUAAAUUCUCCAGCUCGGUCAAAGUCGGAUCUUUAGGCCAUGAGUAGCUAUAACAAUACCAUUAUGUUAUGACCGUAACCCAUGAACGAUAAUUAUUCUCAUCCUAUCCUAGAGAUGGCAUUCUGAGAAUUCAACUUUAAAAUUUCUUCACAAAUAGAUUAACUUUGGAAAGAUAUUAGCUCAUUGUCAAUAGCUCAUUUUCCAACCAUUGUAGGUUGGCAUCAUUCGUCCUAGAGAAUAGUGUUGCCAAGGUGUCCUUGUGCUCAUGAUAUGCUGUAGCAAUUCAUCUUCCCCUAUAACAACAAGAGCAUAGAGUCUCCUACCAACAUUAAUCUUCCCCUUCUUCCUGCUCUUCAUCAUCCAUGAGUGAUGUGGUAUUGUCAUCGCAAACAAUAUCACACAAAUCUUAACCUAGCAGGUAAAAUUGCAUGCAGGCAUUCCAAUUAUUAUAAUUGGAGUUGUUCAGCUUCUCUACGCCAUUGCCAAACUUGAGAAAUCUAUCAUCAUGAGUUGGUUAUAAUGCCCGAGAUUAUACCAAGUAAGCUUGGUUCCAGAUCAACCGAUUACAUUCCUUGACUGUGAAUUGAUAUAGUUUCAGCAUAUUCCAGUCCCUGAUCAUCUGCUCACAUACAAUGGUUCCUAGCCACUAUUUUUGCGUACCACGACUUUCAAUCGCUAGAUUCACAGUCCUCAACUGCCUACUCUAAUACCACUUGUUGAACUUGCAGGUGUAGCUUUGAUACCAACACAUACUUUUUUUGUUUGAGGCAUUUUCUUACGAUAUAAAGUUGAGAGAACUUAUACAACUCAUGGGUGCCAAGCACACGCACUUAUGGGAGCCAAGCUCACUCAGAGCACACUAACUCCAAUGAGAGCUUAAGCCUGUUCAUCCGCCUAUGGAGGUGGUUCUACCUCCUAAAUUAUCUAGAUAUUUCUAAAUAAAUAUCUUCCCUAGAUACUUCUUAAUAAAUAUCUCCAGAUAUUUCUAUCUCUCUCUAGAUAUUUAUAGAAAAAUAUAUUCCUGGAUUUCUACACCCUUCUUAGAAUAUCUUUCAACGUAAUAUCUAGAUGUUUAGGUAACUUAAAAAUAUCUAGAAUUCUUGAGAGAAGAGAGAAGGUAUAAUUCUUUUAUAAUCCUCAUGCAACUCAUUUUCGUUGCUUGUUUUGUUCAUUUAUGUAUGCUUUCAACCACUAAACUCUGGUUUCUUGACAGAGAGACCGUGACAAAUCCUUAGACUUGAGCAAUUUUCGUAUAAAAAGUUAAACUGAAGAGCAAACCUGUUUAUAUUAUAUAUACAAAGAAUACGUGUUGUUGUGCUUGAGAUUAGCUCAUGAAGGAGCUUUUUUCUCUAAUGGACACAUCUUUCUUAGUUACUAUUAAUCAACUAGAUUCUUGAUCACAGAGUAGGUUGGGGUGUGGGCAUUUCAAUUAAGAAGAAGAGCGAGUACUUGUACCUUCCGAGGUAUAACAUCUCGCCAAGAAAUAUGAACCCCAAUCCGGCAGCAAAUACAACUCCCAAGGGCUUGAACAUGGAGACAUAAACAGGUCCAGUUUUUUUCAGGCACCAUGUACAUAAUGAGGCUCUGAAGACGCCAGAAACCAGAGCCUGCAUAUACAAUAGUAAUUUACUUUUACGUUCAACCUCGAAGUCAAGACCAAAAUGUAGAGUUUAGAAGUUAUUAUGUCACACGCUUACCGAGUAUAAUAUAGAAAUUAGACCUAUAUUGACUUUCAAAAUCCAAAACUGCGGUUCUCUCACUGUAACAAAGGACAACAGCCCGGAAAGAACAGUCGAAAAGAACGUUGAAUAGAACAUUAAGUUCAUCACCACGGGAUAAUCUUUGAGGAUAAAUGCCUGCAAGAUUCGAGAUAUGUUUACUUGUCAAUUCUUCUUUAGCUUUGUUUUAGUGUCAUUCAUAUUCUAAGUAAGGCCAUCGGUGCUAACCUGUCCAAUGAACCAUAAUGAUAUCAAGAAAGCUUCGGCCACAAGGAGAAACCCGCCAAGGAUCCAAUUCGAUUGUCUCGAGAGAAGAAAAGGAGGGUGACGAGGUUGGACAGGAGGAGGCGAAGGGGAAAGGAGAAUCGGCGGACCCUUGUAGAGAGUGACUACGAAUGCACCAAGAAUUGAUGUAAUGGUUCCCACAAGCUUAGCUUGGCUGCUCGAGCUUUUCCAGUUCACUUUCUCCAUCCUAAUUAUCAGUUCCAUCAACAAACCAAAGAAUAGAAUAAGUUCAUCUUGUGAUCAUCUUCGACGACACAUUGUGCGCUGCUGUCUCUUGUCUUUCCUAUGAAUGUGCUGCUGCCUUCUCUUGCUGAAGCACCGGACUAUCUUGAAUUUGUUCCAUUUCAGGGACAUAUUCAUUCGCAGAGCAACUCUCGUUUUGGGAAUUUUAGGGAUCCAGCAUCAACAGAAAUAACACAACAUCAUUUGCUUCUCUCAUUUUUUUAUUUUAUUUUUCAAAUGAAGGUUCUUUAAGUGCGCCGAGAUUGAAAGGACACAUGCACAGAAAAUGAGAACUGAAUUAAGUGGUAGCAAAGCGAAUCUCUCCGGACCUAGUUGAAACAGGAACUGUUGAUUUUUGAUAAAAAUCGCUCGCAACCUCGAGCUGAACCCAUGUAAAAUUAACCCCCCAUCAUCCAAUUACCACACUAUCAUCUGCUUCUCUCAUUUUUUUAUAAAAUGAAGGUUCUUUAAGUGCACUGCAGAUAACGAGAGAGAAGAGACAAAAGAACCUUGAAAUAAUGGCGAGAAUGAAAGUGAAAGCUGGGAUGAGGUUCAUCAUGGCCAUGCCCAGAACAGGGGAGCUGUAAUCCAUGCCGACAUACUCGCACAUCUGGCAGGCGAGUCUGCAUCAUCCAACUUACUACAAAAUUAACUUUUGUUUCUCGUAUAAAACUCUUAGCAGUUGAUUAGACCUUUUGCUUCAAAAGAGUUCCAGAGUCUGCAAAUUCAUGUAAACUUCACUCACUCACCCAAUUAGAGCGAUCAAGAAGAUCUUUCGAAGGACAGAGAAAGUGAGAGGAGGACACGAUCCUGGCCUGCCAAAGAGAGCAAACAAACAAGCAAGGUUUCUUAAAACCGUUUUCUUUCCUUAAACCUGACAUCAAUGGAGUUAGGGAGUGUUAGCCAGAGCACAAACCUGCGAGAGAUGAUGAGGGGACAAGGAAGAAGGACGAGAGAGGAGAGGGCGUUACUGUAGAAGACCAUGGUGUACUUGUUCAUCCCUUCGGACAUGGCCAUUUUCGUCACCACCAUGUUGCUCGUUUGAACCAGGACCACCAUUAUCAUCCCCAUAAACGGCAGUGAACCCCUCGCUCUCCCGUCUCUCUCUCUCUCUCUCUCUCUACCCCUCCCUCCUCCCAGUUCGUGGGUUAAUAGUCGGAGGAAACCGAGGUUUUUCCAGGUUCUGCGGGACCGCCUUGGAUUUAAUGCUUUGAUUUGACUUUUCACCUACUUUUGGUGCGAAUUUCUUGGUUGAGGACCUGCAGAAGGUCGAUUUUGCCAACGAUGAAAACGACGGUGGCGAGCUUGAUUGAUGUGGCUUUUGCGAUGUCAUAGUAUAUCAGACGUGUAUCAUUGCAAUUACAAAAACGAUGAGAGGAUGACGAUAGCUCUGCUACUUUUCUUUUCUCAGACGGCGCCUUCGUUGAUUGGGUGGUUUGCAGGUGAUCUUUCGUCUACACGAUCGUAGAUCUGUUCACGUUUCAAAAAGGAUCUGCUCAGUCAUCAAUAAAACAUUACCUGAAAUUUACGGGGAGAAUCCACUUCUUCUCUUUCCCAGCGUUUAGCCAGCACCAGUGUUUGAACUUUGGCUUGUGCAUAUUGGGGGAUUUGCUUCUAGAGUACCCGGGUUGCUUCAUACUAAUCUUAGACUAGUCAAUUCUCAACACGAUCGGUUUGCAUAGUGAUACUUAGUUAAACAGGUUUGGAUUUGAUAUAAACCGGUUAAUGUAAUAAAUGAGUUAAGCUCAUUUAAGACAUAACGAAAAUUGUGUUUUGCCUAAAUUGACCUACUUAACCCGUUUAGUCACGAAUCAAUAUAUAUAUUUUUUAAACGUGACAUCUUUUUAACACGACAUGAUUAUACAUGCUUUAAUAUGUUUAAUACUAGAGUAAUCACCGCUUAGUUCUAAUAGCACAUCAAUUAGCACCAACCUAAUUGACUAAUCGAUAAAAAGAAUAAAAGAUAUGCAAGAAAAUGAAAAGUCAAUUAGAUUAAAAUAUAAAUUGAUAGAGUAAACUUUUCCUAAGGUUGAUAAAAUGGGAAUUUGUUGAGGCUAUCCUGCUCUGACCCAGCGCUCACCGGUGCGUCUUCAGGUUAUCACGCUGCCACCAACUCACCUGCUACUCACCACCACACCUACCGGGCUGUUUCUUCUCCGGUUGAACAUUAGAAUCGAUUCGAGUUCAUUCUAGAUUUGUCUCUUGAAUUAUGCUCCAUUUCGUUUUCUUUAGAUUUCGCUGCCUUUCAUUGAACUGCCUUGUCCAGCAUUCGCCAAGCCACUGCACCAUAUUGCAGGGUCGUUAUUGAACUUUCAUGAGCAGCCAUGUUGCCAUCCAGACGGCACCAUAAUCUGCUGCAGCUGUUAACUCUCUUCUCCAGCUCCAAGCAGUAUAAAUCCGUGAUUGGGACGGAUUAAGCGAAAUCGACUAAGAGGGACAACAGCUGAGAGGACGGGGCAAAGAGAGAGAGAGAGAGAGAGAGAGGAGGAGGAGUAGAGAAGGGGCGCGAAGAGAGUGAUGACGAUAAUCUGGGUAAGAAAAUGGCAACUGGACCCAAGAAGGGAUUAAGAUCAUAUAGGAUGGAAAUGCAAGUUGAGAUACAUUAACAAAAGCCAAAGCGCAGAGUAGAGGUUUUCCAAAGCGAGCAUAAAGGUCAAUGUGCGUGCACCAAAACGAAGAUGGUAGUCGAAAUCUUCUCGAAAUUCUUCAUUUUUCAGGCGAUGCCCCUCUAUUGGUAUCUCCACAUCUCUUUCACAGUGGAAUGUUCAAGUCGAAUUCAUUUCGAAAAACGCAAAAGGAAAAUGUCUCUACGAAUACGUACUAAUAUCUACACUCUGGAAGCUUUGUUUCGGAGCAAAGGAAUCUUGUCGCUGGAGGAUGCCAAGCUCUCUUCAACCCCGCUGCCCUCGAUCGUCUUCUCUUCCUCUUUGGACUUGGCCCACACUACCCCGUAGAAUCCCAUCACAAUCACGAUUGCUCCGAUCAAGCUGCACAGAACCAAUAAGAGACAGACAAAAAAGGCAUGUCCACGUCAAGCUGCCCUGUUUUGUCCAUUUAUGUGUGCUUUGUAAUGACCGACACUGAUUCCUUAACGGAGAGACUCUGGCAGAUCUCCAGAGUUAAACUCAUGAAGGAGCUUUCUCUCUGAUGAACACAUCUUCCUGAAUUUCUUCUAGUCGACUAGAUUCUUGAUUAUAAAAAAAAGGCUCAGGCAUUUCAAUAGAGAAGAGGAAAGAGUACAUGUACCUUCCAAUGUGUAACUUUUCGCCAAGAAAUAUGAACCCCAAUCCAACAGCAAAUACAGUUCCCAAGGGCUGGAACAUGGAGACGUAAACAGGUCCAGUUCUCUUCAGACACCAUGUACUCAACGUGAUUCUGAAAACAUUAGCAACCAAAGCCUGCAUAUACAAUAUCAAUCUGACUUUUAUCUUCAACCUCGAAGUCGGACCAAAAUCUAGACUUUAGGAGCCACGAUAGUACGUGCUUACCGAGUACAAAAUAGCGAUCAAACCCAGAUCGACUUUAAGAAUCCAUGAUUGUGGUUCUCUCACUGUAACGAAGGACAAUAGCCCAGAAAAAAUUGUUUGAAAGAACAUUCCAUAGAACAUUAUGUUCAGCACCACGGGGUAAUCUUUGAGGAUAAUUGCCUGCAACAUUGGAAUUUCUUUUACUUGUCGAGUCUUCCUUCUCUUCGGUUUGGUGUCAUUCAUAUUUUAAGAAAAAGUUAAGGACAUCGGUGCUAGCCUGUACAAUGUAUGCUAAUGAUAUCAAGAAAGCUUCAGCCGCGAGGAGAAACCCUCCAAGAAUCCAAUUCGAUUGUUGCGAGAGAAGACCAGGUUGGACAGAAGCAGGAGGCGAAGAUGGGCUAAAAAUCAGUGGACCCUUGUAGAGAGUGACUACGAACGCACCCAGAAUUGAUGCGAUGGUUCCCACAAGCUUAGCUUGGCUGCUUGAGCUUUUCCAAUUCACUUUCUCCAUCCUAAUUUUUAAUUCAAUCUCAUUUUUUUCAAAUGAAGGAUCAUUAAGUUCACUGCAGAUAACAAGAAAGAAGAGACAAAGAACCUUGAAAUAACGGCGAGAAUGAAGGUGAAAGCUGGGAUGAGGUUCAUCAUGGCC